rnacentral:rRNA from 1 species
CGGGAAUAUUGCACAAUGGGCGGAAGCCUGAUGCAGCGACGCCGCGUGAGGGAUGACGGCCUUCGGGUUGUAAACCUCUUUCAGCAGGGAAGAAGCGAAAGUGACGGUACCUGCAGAAGAAGCACCGGCUAACUACGUGCCAGCAGCCGCGGUAAUACGUAGGGUGCGAGCGUUGUCCGGAAUUAUUGGGCGUAAAGAGCUUGUAGGCGGUUUGUCGCGUCUGCAGUGAAAAUCCGAGGCUCAACCUCGGACUUGCUGUGGGUACGGGCAGGCUAGAGUAUGGUAGGGGAGACCGGAAUUCCUGGUGUAGCGGUGGAAUGCGCAGAUAUCAGGAGGAACACCGAUGGCGAAGGCAGGUCUCUGGGCCAUAACUGACGCUGAGAAGCGAAAGCAUGGGGAGCGAAC